rnacentral:rRNA from 1 species
CCCUUAGAUGUCCUGGGCCGCACGCGUGCUACACUGACGCAUACAGCGAGCACUUUCCAGUUCCGAGAGGCUACUGGUAAUCAUCAAUAUGCGUCGUGAUGGGGAUAGAUCUUUGGAAUUCUGGAUCUUGAACGAGGAAUGCCUAGUAAUCGCAGGUCAUUAGCCUGCGAUGAUUAAGUCCCUGCCCUUUGCACACACCGCCCGUCGCUACUACCGAUUUCGAGUGGUCAGGUGAAUCUUUCGGACUGUGGGCGCCCUUGAGGUGUUCGCGGAAAGUCAGGUAAAUCUUAUCACUUAGAGGAAGUAAAAGUCGUAACA